rnacentral:rRNA from 1 species
CCCAGUGACAUUGUUCAACGGCCGCGGUAUCCUAACCGCGCGAAGGUAGCGUAAUCACUUGUUCUUUAAAUGAGGACUAGUAUGAAUGGCUUCACGAAAGCUAUGCUGUCUCCUUUAUCCAAUCAGUAAAACUAAUCUCCCCGUGAAGAAGCGGGGGUGUACCUAUAAGACGAGAAGACCCUAUGGAGCUUUAAACACCUUAAAACAUUUGAAUACCAUAUUUUCAGGUUCUGAAAACUUCACUAAGCCCCUCAUUCUGCUUUAAGUUUUAGGUUGGGGUGACCCCGGAGAACAACCCACCCUCCACGUAGAAAGGACCUCCUUUCUAAGCAAAAAGCCACAUCUUUAUGCAUCAAUACAUUGACCUAAAUUGACCCAAUUAUUUGACCAACGAACCAAGUUACCCUAGGGAUAACAGCGCAAUCCGCCUUAAGAGCUCCUAUCGACAGGCGGGCUUACGACCUCGAUGUUGGAUCA